UCAUGCCCAUACACAUCAACUUUGGAGUCCAUGAAUCUCUCCGGGUGGAAUGACAGUGGAUUUUCCCAUAGCGUGGGAUCGCGUCCCAAAGCCCAUACAUUCACCAUCACUUGCGAAUUCUUGGGAAUUAUAUAGCCACUUAAUUCAACAUCUUCUGUCACUUGGCGUGGUAGCAAGAAGGGAACCGGUGGGUGCAACCUUGCACUCUCUUUCACAAUGCAUUGCAAAUAAGUCAACUUAGAAAUGUCUGCUUCUUCUUUGAGUCAGUCCACAAGUACACUUGUUGCAAGUGCAGUUAAGUAAUGGAUCAACAUCUGUGAUUCCAUCCCAAAUAGUUCUGAUCUUUGUGUAAAACUCAGAAACUGAAUCAGUUCCUUGUUUAAGCUCUAGAAGCUGUUGUUCAAGUGAAUAAAUCUGUGUCAAAGAGGCAAUUCCAAAUCGUUCUUCAAUAUCAUCCCAAAUUUCUUUAGCUGUUUUCAUAUUAAGAACACUUUGAGCAAUAACCUCAUCCAGAUUGAAGAGGAGCCAAGAAAUAACAAGAUCAUUGCAACGUUCCCAUUGUUUAAACAACACAUCAGUAGAUCGAGGCAUCGGAAGACUUCCAUUAAUGAAACCAAGCUUAUUCUUAGUAGAUAAAGUAAGCAUCAUAGAUCUUCGCCAGUUAUGAUAACCGACACCAUUAAACUUGACAGAAACAAGUUGAAAUGAGGUAGUAUCUGAAGGAUGAAUGUAAUACACACUGGAUGGAUCAUUAUUGGAGAUCAAUCGACUAGUUUCAGACGCCAUUAGAUGAUGAUAAUCAGAAAUUUCACAGUAAUGAACACAGCAAGCAGAUGAAUCAAUGAACAGAAGUGAUUCACAGUUAAAGAAUCAAGAAUCGGUGUUGAAUUGUAUAUGCACAGAUACAAUCGGAAACUAAGUAAGUAACGAACAGGAGAUGAAUGCGUAGAUGAAACCUGGAGAUGAACACGAUGAACACGAUGAGAUUACGAUGAGAUUAUGAUGAGAGUGAUCGAAUUCGCCAUUUUAGCUCUGAUACCAUGUAACUUGUAUAAACUUGAUGAAGAAGAAAGAAAACAUUUCUAUUGAUUACUCUGAAAUGAUUACAAGCCUGUCUUUAUAUACAUGAGCUACUACUCUAGCUGUAUAACAGAUUCUGUUAUACAAGUGGUGGUGUAACUAACUAGACUGUAACUACCUACCUCUACUGUAACUAAUUGUUUUUACUGGAAUGUAAACUAACAUUAUAUAUACAAUAGAACAAAUCACUUAUAUACACAAGGAAAUAUUAUCUUACCGUGAGCAAGUGAUUGGCAUGUCGUUUCUCAAUUUCAUUUGUUCGCAACAAUUUUAACAGUUCGUCGAGCACAUCUGUACUAGGACUGUCCUCAGAGUCACCCAAUUUCUUCAGCUCCAAACGCUCAUUGACCAUACCAUCAAACAACUUGAUUAACUUACCAAAACCAACAGUUGAUCGUCGUUUGAUACCUUGAGGAUCGAAAGACCUAAGAAUAGGAAAAUAAUCCACUAAAUUAGGCGUACCUGCCUCCUUCAUAAUGUUCCACACCGUGUCCUUAAACUCCUUAGUGUCACUGCCAUGAUACGGAUCUGCCAUAUCCUUGGAAAACAUGGUAUUCGACAAAAGAUUAAGCGCGGUCUGAAAAGCAGCACGACCAAUAUCUACAGCCUCCCCACUUUCGCUACACUUAGUAAUGUAUCCAACAAGCUCCUGCACCUUGUUUGUUCGAAGAUGAUGAUUUGCAUCCAGCUUGCUAGUAGCAAAAAUAUAAGUGCUCAUAAUUUUUCUUAGAUUCCUCCACUGAUUUCCAACAGGCGACCAUGCAACCGAGGACUUGAAAUGGUCGCAUGCACGUAUAGCAUCGGGCAGGGGCCGAGUAGAGAAGGCCAGGUCUUGCUUUUGGAGGACUUCUCGAGCUGCAGUCGGUGAAGAGAUGACUAUGGUGGUUAUACGUCCCAGUUUUAGACUCAUAAUUGGACCAUAAACAUGAGCCAGGUUGGCUAAGGAUUUAUGCGGGUGUUUACCGAGAUUGUGUAUAUUUCCUAUUAGUGGCAAUGGGGAGGGACCUGGUGGAAGCUUUUGAACAGCUUUGACAUUGUUUCUUUGUAGUAAGAAGAGUGAAAAGGCCAGCACUAUGCAGAGCAAACUGAUCAAAAAGAUCUCCAUAUGCCCCAGUUCUGGUUUAACCUUGACGAGAGGUAAAAAUACUGAUAAAAAAUAAAGAAGACGAUUGUUGGAUGCUUAUACAAUUGUGUUAGUUUCUGUUUCUAUUUGUACACAAACACGACCGACAGAACAUAGAAAUGAAUGGCUCCAGUUCAAACAACCUAAAACGUCAAUGUCCAGAAUACUGAUUAAAGAUUUUACGGUUCAAUUAUUUCUCAAACAAAUGUUGCAGGCAAAAGAACCUUUUUUUAGUUAAGUAUCGGAUUUUUAUUGAUUUCAAUCUCAUAAAUAGUGAUGACGCUAUUUUUUUUUUUUGAAAUAAAUCGGACUUGCAUUAAUCAACUACCCUCCGGGGCUAGGUUACACAAGAUAAAAUCAGGAGCAGUAUGAUACCAUUCCUGAGGACCUGACAUAGAACAAGCAGCCUGUGCUGAAGAGUGGGCUACAUUAUUCGCAGAUCGCAGUACAAACAUAACUAACACUUCCUGAAAGUGUUUAAUCAACUCCCUGCAAUCUUCCACAAUCGUGUCAAAGAUUGAAUUGCCGUGACCUGCAUGAAUUGCAUCUACUAACAACUUUGCAUCUGAUUCAAAAAUACAUUUCUGUGUCCUCCAUGUCUUUACCCAUGAUAAUGCUUCCUUUAAGCUCAAAGCUUCAGCCUCCCGCGCAUAACUCCUGCCUUGCACCAGAGUUGUUCUGGCUCGAAGAAACUCUCCCCUUUCAUUUCUCACGACACAGCCAACACCCACAUACUCACUGUCUUGUCUGCAGGAUGCAUCUAUAUUAAUCUUAAUCCAUCCCUCUGGUGGUGGACACCACUGUCGCGUAUGCACAUGAACUCCAGUUCCGCUUUUACAGGUUUCCUCUUGAGCUUUUUUCCACUCCUGAAGCAUGUUCAAAGCCAUAGAUUUAAUGCCAAAGACAGAUGAAUUAAUCUUUUCCCACACCCACUUAUUUCUUCUAAACCACAAGCACCAGCAAAUUACUCCUAUCAACGCACACUGUUCAUUAGUUCCACCAAUUAAUUCCUGAUUAUCUAAUUAAUUGCUAAACGGUGAUUCAACCGAUUAAUAUUAAUUUCCAAUUUUUAAAACACUGAUGUGGAUAAUUUUUAUCAUCUCUAGCCUCCUCGUACAGGAAUUCUUAUCGGUGGUGUUUAUAGGGCCGACUUUAGAGAUUUGGGUGCUCUAGACGAUUUUUGAAACCAAUGCUCCUAUUUUUUCCGGAUCAUAAAUGAAAAUUUUACAUACAUUCAAAUCAAUAUACAAUGACCAUACAAAAAAAAUUCAAUAUACAAUGACAUCAUAAAAAUAUUGAUUUAAGAUUAUUACAAUCAAUUCAAAUGCAUGUAAAUAUAUAAAUACAAAAAUUUAUCAUUAAAUACUACAUAUGCAUGAAUUUGUUGAUGUACUAGGAUAGUGGUGUCCCAAGACGUUCGCCUUGGUAUGGCGACCGAGGACCAUUUCUCGGUGUUUCCGUUGAGAGAUUUAAGAAUUAGCCAGAUAGUUCACAACCUUCGUGACAACAAUCAUAAUCUGCAACGUACUUCCGAAAGCCAUAGUUAUUGCUCUCCAAACACUAACCAUAGAUUAGGACACUCUUGGGGGCAUGGCCCUGAUGUAGCUCUGUUGUAGACUGAUAUAUAAUACAGAACAUCAGAGCCCGUUUUGGUGUGUGGAAAAACUAAACCUUACUCCGUUAUUUAGAAACGCUAAUAAACUUACUGGUGUAGGAAAUGACAAAUAUGAGAAAGAAAAAUGCUAACUAUCUCAAAACUCAAAACUGAGACUCUGAGAGAAUAAUAGUCAAUAUUUUAGAAUUCAUAUAAAUAAUUUGAUGAGAAAUUAAGAAAAAGAAAUGUAAAAAAUAUCGAGACAACUAGAUUAUUAUUAUAAUUGUCCAAUAGUUAGAGAGUUGAAGUCAAGCUAUAUUUGUUUUUCAUAAAUUUUGUCACAAAAGAUGUGUCGUUUUUGUAUAAUUAAGAAGUAGUUAUUUGGUAGUUAUCUAUUCUGUUUUGAGAAUCGAAUCCAUGCACGCCUCUUGUCGAUUUCCACAGGUCUGGUUAGCUAAUCACUAAAUCACUNUUUUUUUUUUUUUUUUCUUUUCCCUACUGACAUUUAUUAAAAUUUUAUGUCAAGAUAAAAAUUUCUCCUCAAGCUGGCUUCCCUUGAAACUCCCUGCAGCCGAAGUUGUGAUACUUAACUGCAGUUCAGGUCUGUACACCAUACACAGUUUAUUGGGAGUAUGGAUAAACUGAAAGUUCUCAUUGUCACAAAUUAUGGGUCUUCCUUCUCUAAGCUAGACAACUUUUAUUGUCUUGGAAGUUUACCCAUUCUAAGGCGAAUCAGAUUAGAACGAGUUUCAUUAUCUUCCCUUAACACGUCCUCAAUCGAGUUGGUGAACCUGCAGAAGAUAACUUUUACUAUGUGUGAGAUCGGCGAGGCAUUUGAGAAUGGUACUAUGGACCUCCCUCGCAUCUUCCCUAAUCUUCUGGAACUUGAGAUUGACUGUUGUGAUGACUUGAUGAAAUUGCAUGUUGGAAUCUGUAAUGUUGUCAGUCUUAAGUAGAUCAGCAUCACUUACUGCAAUGAGCUAUCUUCACUUCCAGAGGAGAUCGGCAGGUUCAGAAAUCUUGAAGUUUUGAGGCUCAAUUCUUGUACAAAGCUACUCCCUCCGUCCCAAUGAAUUAUAUACAUUGGGAACGGACACGGAGACCAAGAAAAAGUGUAAGAAAUAAGUAAAGUUAGAUGGAAAGUGGGUAAAGUGGUGGGAUCCACAUAUUUUUUAACACUCCCUCUGUUUCAUAUUACAUGUCCACCUUUGAUAACUAAAAAUUGUUUCAAAUUAGUUGUCCCAUUUCAACUUUCAAUGCAAUGUAGUCAAUCGUAGUAUUUGCUAGAAGAAGUUUAUACCACAUCCUACUAAAUUAUAUUUCCUAGAUCAAAUAUUUCCUACAUAUUAUACUUGGUCAAUGCAAUAAAUACAAUAAUAAAUGAAAGUUUUUUACAAAAGUUAGUUUUUCUUAAUAUAUGUGAUUUGUUUAAAAGUGGACAUGUAUUAUGAAACGGAGGGAGUAAUAGAUUUGAGAUAGUGGAGUAAGGUAGGGUGUAAUAGUGUUUUUAUUAUUAUAUAAUAGAGAUAGUGGGAGAAUGUAGUGGGUGUAGUAGUGUUUUAUGUUAUAAAAAGUUGCUAUUUUGGGAAUGUAUAGAAAUGAUAGGACAUCCCAAAAAAGAAACUGUAUAUAAUUGAUUGGGACGGAGGGAGUAUUAGAGUUGCCAGAGUCAAUUGGAAACUGUUGGAAUAUAAUCUGAAACUUGUAUUUGAAUAUUAAUGUUUAUGUUUUAUUUUAUUUGUUUUAUUGAAUAAAUUGUACGUGUCUUAGUGUCUUAGUAAACGUUUGUGAUGGUUAGCGCAGUAGUAGCUAUAGACCCGUUUAUAGUUCAGUUUCAGUAUUAUCAGGGAUGUGGAAGAAGUGUAGUCAUGAUAGGAUGUUAGUUGCUAUUUUUUAGGUAUCACCUUUAUGUGUCUAGCCUAUUUAUAUCUGAUUGUAUGCGUUCAUUUUUAACAAGAAGAGAGGAUACAAUGUAGUCCCUAGAGAGCAGUUUGUUCUUGUACAUAUCAAAUUGCUAUACUGUUCAUUCUAUAGAUAUAAAUUUCUAGUCUUAUAUUUUCAACAUGGUAUCAGAGCGAGGUUGGGAGAGAGUAUCAGGGCUUAACAGCUUUCCUCCGAUCCUUGGGUUGUUGCUGGGUGUUGGCGUCACGGGUGCCGGGCGUUGUGCUGCAGAGGCGUUGUGUUGCGGAGAAGAUGUAGUUUUAAGUAGGCGUUGCAGAAGGAUGGUGGCAAAGCUACACGUGUAGUAUGGGAUGCAUGUGUAGUAUAUGGCUGUCGAGAAAGACAAGGCGAUGCCGGAGAAGUACGUGAGAAGAAAAUCACGGCACAAGUGGUCAUGGAAGAAAUUUUUAAUUUAGAAUUGUGGGUGAGAAGUGCACCCUGGAGAGAAGUACUUCAAAAUUGUUUUUGAUGAGAAGUGCAUCAAACUUGAUAGUGGUGAGAAGUGCAUCACAAAAAUGAAAAGAUGGUGGUGAGAAGUUCAUCACAGAUGAAGAGAAGUGCUUCAUAAAUUCAGUUCAGAUAAGUUUCAGAUUAAGGGGGUGAUUGUUGGAAUAUAAUCUGAAACUUGUAUUUGAAUAUUAAUGUUUAUGUUUUAUUUUAUUUGUUUUAUUGAAUAAAUUGUACGUGCCUUAGUAAACGUUUGUGAUGGUUAGCGCAGUAGUAGCUAUAGACCCGUUUAUAGUUCAGUUUCAGUAUUAUCAGGGAUGUGGAAGAAGUGUAGUCAUGAUAGGAUGUUAGUUGCUAUUUUUUAGGUAUCACCUUUAUGUGUCUAGCCUAUUUAUAUCUGAUUGUAUGCGUUCAUUUUUAACAAGAAGAGAGGAUACAAUGUAGUCCCUGGAGAGCAGUUUGUUCGUGUACAUAUCAAAUUGCUAUACUGUUCAUUCUAUAGAUAUAAAUUUCUAGUCUUAUAUUUUCAACAGAAACCUCCAAAAAUUAACAGUUCUUGAUUUAUCUGAUUGCUUAAGCAUAAGUAAUUUGCCUAGAACAGUAGGUGGGUUGUGUGCUUUAAAAAAGUUCCACAUGAGAGGUUGCCAAGGAUUGUCAGACCUACAUAAGCUUCCGACAUCUGUAAAAGAUCUGACACUAUUAGAGAAGGUGGUAUGUGAUGAAGAAGCUAGUCAUCUAUGGAAAACAUAUCGAAGUCAUUUGAAAAAUCUGGUAGUAGAAGAGGUAAAAGAAGAUGCAUUUGAAAGCCUUAUGAGGGUCAUCUCACCAAUUCAGCAUUGUUGACACAGCAAAAGAAUGCUGUACAGCGUGUAGAUUUCUGAAAUCAGAAGUUCUGAUUGUAUAAUACUGGCAAGUGGCAACACUUAGGUUUUCAUUUUUAUUCAUAGAUAUGUGUAAAUUCUAUAGAGUAUCAUGCUGAACUGUAAAUCAGUAGCUCUAGAACAGCAUGACUAAGACCCCAUUUGUGAAAUAGAAUGUACUGGAGAACCUGCACUGCAUCGAUCGGACAUUGUAAAUAGAAUGUAGUAAAAUGUCAUUCAGAAUAAUCUCCAGGUUUCCAGAUGCUGUUGUAUUUAAAGUUGGUUAAAGUUUUUUCUUCUCAGUUUGAUAACUCAACUUUAUCAGUAAAAUUGAUUGUGAUAUGAUAUGAAUGGUACAUUACAUCUGAUAUGUUUUAAAUUGAUAGUAACAGAUUUACGUGUUCAAAUUCGCUGUAAUGAACCCAUUUACGUGAAGCAUCCACUUGGGCCAAAUUCAAAUAUGAUGUAUGAAUCAUAAGAGUUGCCAGUAUUGUGAUCGCCAAUGUGCUCUAGUUUGCUAACAUCUCAAAAUUCUUCUAGGUGAUGUUGAAGAUUGCGUGUUUGGUAAAGCUUUCCAUAAAAUUCAUCGCAGAUGUUUUGUCCAUGCAAGUUAUCAUAUUGUCCUAUGUACACAUUUAUAAUAUACUCUCCGUCCCCUCAUUUGUUUACAUUGGGGGACGUGGAUCGGCACGCAUUCUAAUACUCUCGUAAAAUGUAGUUCAAUAAAUUAUUUUGAACUUUUUUUUCUUCUGAAUAAAAAUUUGAUGUUUAAAUUUUUGUAAAAAAAAAAUUCAAAAAUAAGUUAUAAAAUUAUGUUUUAUAUAUAUCUUAAAAUGUGUGUCAAACUAUGUGAAAAAACGGUAAAAAAAUGAAAGAGACAAAGGGAAUAUUAAAGUCAUGCCUACAACACAUAACCGAGUCCUUCACAUUGACAUUCAACUCAAUAAGCGUGCCAGGAUUUUCUCUUCACCGACCUUAGAAAUUUUUGUGAGCUCAUUUAUUACAUUUGAUUUUGACAACAUAAAUUUUUCAUAGAUUUUACAGUAAAUAUACUAUCUAAAAGCAGUAACAAGAAACUGAGAUAGACAUCCUUGUUUCAAAUAUGCAUGAUUGGUAGUUUAAAAACUUCUAGAAAAUCAAUAUUUCAAGUCUAUAAAAUUCCUAAAUAAUUAGAUUUAUUUUUAAAAUAUAUUCUCACAAAUUUGUUUUGUUUAUAUAGGACGGAUGUGCUUUGUCUUUUUUUUUUUUUUUACUAAACAUCGCUAUAAACAUUACAUCCAAAUAAAUAAUUUCUUAAUUUUAAUCAGACUUAUCUAUAUACAUAAUUCCAAAGUCAAAUAACUUUGAUAGGAAGGCAUUCUACCGGUUAAUUUACCACAUGCAACCUAAACGAUCGCAUUGCUGAAUCAUUUUAUUAUCACAACUAGGUGUACAAACCGCGCUUCGCGCGGUCAGUAAAAACAUUACGUUCUAAAAUAACUUGAGGCAUUGAUGGUAGGCUAUCAAAACAAAUAAGAUGUUGAUGAUAUGCUAUCUAUCUAGACUUUUCUUGAAGGAGAAUGCAAGUGAAGAAAGUGAGUAAGAGAAAAUAAUAUAAACGGCCGCCAUAACUUUAUAUUAUUAAUAACAAAUAUCAGUUGCUAUAUUAUUACGAGUUUUGGAGAGUAGAAUAACAACCGCCAAGUAGCAAGUAGAAGAAAAUAGUUUCAUAUAGAAUUUCAACCUAACGAUCAUUAUAUAGAUGUAAUGUAAUAUAGGCUUAUAGCCUACUGGAAGAUAUUAAGAGCGGAAUAAAAAUUACAUAUUUUGUGCAGUGUAAAUAAUCGAACGGUUGUGUCCAGGUAAUAUUGUUUCAAUGUGUUCUUGCAGGACGGAGUUCAAAUGUCGCCUUUGUCUUCUACACUUGCUUGAAAAACACAUCAACUCUGUCAACUUCAUUAGUGAAACACAUGGUAGUUAUCGUUUUUACUUUCAUCUGAACUAUUUUCUGUUUCAAGAACAGAGUCUGAUAGCUCAUGAGUAGUAUUUACAAUUCAAGAACAUAUAAGUACAGACCUCAUGGAAUACCUCAAGUAUGACUCCUCCAUAUUUUUCCCUGUUCAUUGAAACAUAAUAGUUCAGACUUUUUAAAUCUUUUAGCUCAUUAAUAGUACUUGUUGUAAUCAUCUCCAAUAUAGAUUCCCUAAAAUCUUCUCUAGGAUCAUAUGAUGACUUCUCUGAUCCAGCUUAUCUUGAACCAUCAUAUGUUCUGCACUUGCUAUCGUCGUAGUUCUGUCCAAAUUCCCACCUUCGCCGCAUGAAGAGACACUCGGCCAACAGCUGCAGCAGAUGGCCUUCAUCCACCCCUUGGGCUUAAGCUUCUGGUUCUCUAAUUCUCCAGAGCCCUGCAUUCUUAUAAAGGAAUGAAGGACUUGAGCAAACAAUCUAUUUAAUACAUAAAAAGUUUUCAAGCUAGUUGGUGUAACCAUGACUCUCCCUGAGGUCCAGACAAUUUGCUAUUAUCAUGAAAAAUAUGCUUGGAGGACAACAGGAAAUUAGUUCUUUUUUGUUGAAUAAGUUACUAACUUACUGGUUUGAAAAACUCCAUAGAUUUCCAUUAUUGUCCUUUCAAUUUGUAACAGCUCUGCAACUCUAGCUAAUGUAGAAGUAGCAACAGAAUACUGAGACAUGGAAGCUUUCUUUUCAAGUUUUAAAUUUCUAAAUUAUCAAGUAAACCAGGAGUGGGUGGCAUCAUAAGGAAGGAACCGCUGACGAAAAGAAUAACAAACAUGAUUAAAGAUAAUGUAAACCUAAAAAUAUUAGAUAAAUUAGUAUUCUCUACUGGCUUUAGACGCCCACCGGGAAGCUUGCAAAAAGUGUUCCCAUUUUGCCGUAGAAGUAUAUGCGAGGUGAUUGUGUUCUUGAACCUGCAAAAUCAGAUACAUAUGUGGAAAACUUCAUCAUCUUGCAUGACUUUGACAACUCUCAGAGAAAAUCUACGGGGGGAUAAAAUCUGAUUAAUGCAAUUCAUAUCAAACCCUACCCUUUAGGUGUCGUUUGGUUGGGUGGUAUGGAGAAUCAGGUAUGGGUAUGAAAGCAACCAAACCCAUACCUAGUGUUUGGUUGGAUUUUUUUUUAUCUUCAUACCCAUACCUGAAACCCCCCAAUUAUAACUUUUUAAAACCCAAGUGGAGGGGCGGGUAUGAGCUGCUGGUAUGGGUAUCAGUAUUAAUAUUCUUUUCUUAUAUUUAGAAAAAAUAUUAAUAAUAAUAAAUAAAAUAUUUAUAUAUACAAAUAAAUGUUAUUAUUUGAUAAUAAAAAUAUUUAUCAUUUUUUAUUUAAUAAAAUAAUUUAAUUUAAUCAAUAACAUGAUUAUAUUUUUAAUUAAAUAGAUUCAUUCCAACACUCAACCAAACACAAGAUAUCAAGAAUGAUACCUUAACCCCAUACAACUCCAAACCGAUUCUUAAUUCAAACCCCAUAUCACUCCACGAACCAAACGACCCCUUAAAGCUUUCCAGUAAGCAAAUCAAAAGUCUGCAACCAAUACUAAAAUAAGCUGGGAAAAUAGAUAGUCUAUUAGCUCUAAACACAAGCAAAAUCAAUAAAGUGUAAAAGUGCUAGAACAUAAUGUAACAUCUGGCAGGCCAUAGUAACUCCUGGGAGCUUGCACUUACACACAUUAUCACACCCAAAAAAUGUAAAGUGCAACCCAAAUUAGUUGAUUCAUGAACCAAUUAGAAUUGUUUGACCCCAAUAACAGUAUUUCAUGAUAGGAACUACACGUAAAUGGUAAGAAAGAAUAAAACAACAGAUGUGGGAUUAGAAACUGACCUUAACAACAGCCCAGCAAUCAAUCAGCCAAAUCAUCCAAAUGAAUUCCAGCCACAACUUCCCAACCACCCUGCCAAUUUUUCGGCAAGUAUUCUUCGAAAAAGGGUGUGCACAACAACGAAAAAGAAAGCCUGAUAAAAACCCGCAACAAAGAAUUAGACUUAAGUUGGACAACUCUAAAAUUUAUAAUUUAUAAAAUUGAGAGGAGCAUUUGGUAAGCACAAAAGAAAGAGUAGAAAUCUGGAUUACAAUGUAUAAUUUAUAAAACUGAGAUGAACAUUUGGUAAAUCACAAAAGAAAGAGUAGAAAUCUGGGAAUAUUACCGGAAGAAGAUUGACGACUAAGCCAUAGAUGAAGAAGAGGACGGCCACCGGAAGAAUAACAGCUGCUGCAGCAAUCGCCAUAGCCAAGCCAGCCUAACAAAGAGGUCCAAUAGUGUGGGUAGAGCUUAUUUUCGAGUAGGAAAUAACCAAGCGAAAAGAUACAACUGCUGGAGGACCAUUUAUAGCAAACUAUCCGAAGAGAUGAUGAGGCUUCAGUUACGAAACAGGAAAAUUUUGAAGGCUGUACAGGUUCCGGCCGGAUAAAACCGCAAGGCCAGCAGAGAGACAGAGGGCUGUGCGGAAUUAAAAAAUUAAAGAAAUAGAAAUUAAAUAAGAAUAAAAAAGGGCGAGUGUGAGAAGUGAGAAUUGAGUCUAACAACAAUGAGGAAAGAACCACGUAGGCCGCCCUGGAUUUUACUUUAUAUAGAUAUAACUAGGUGUAUAACCCGCGCUUCGCGCGGUUGGUGAGAAUAUUACAAGAUAAAAUCUAAAAAAAUGUUGGGACAUCUUUUAAAAAACUCUUCAAAUAUGAUAUCACUCCAUGAGAAUCAAGGUAUAUCAAAAAUUUAUACACAUAUAUUCUUGAUCAUAUCACUUGCGUUAGGUUAUAUAAAUUUUUCACGCACAAACUAUUUCUUCUUGUUGGUAGAGAAGUUGAAUCUUUUCAAUAUAUCCUUUUUAUUUAUUUAUAACAUUGCAUAGGUUAUUAUUUUUUUAGUUAUCAAAUCAUUUUGACCAACAUAAUUCUUUUAAAAAAAAAUACUUUUUUGACCUUUUUAUAUUUUUCUAAAAUUGUUAAAUCUAAAAUUUAUGCAAUAAACUUAUUCUUUACCACUUGUGUAAUAUUAUAUAAAUAUCUCAGUAUCUCACACAUUAAUUAUUUUUUCUUCCAUCCCUAUUUUUUUUGGUGGAGAGUUGGUAAAAAUUAUUUUUUCUUUCAUCCCUAAUUUCUUUUUGUGAAGAGGUAGAAUCUUUUCAAUAUAUAUUUAUUUUGAAUUUUGUAACAUUACAGUACCCCUAGCAUGAUCUGCAAGAUGAUGCCUUGCAUGCCUUUCAUCAUUUUCUGCACCGUCGGCACGUGCUAUAUAGUUAAGCCCAAACUACAAUAUGAACGAUACAACACAGCCUUCUGAGUUGUGAGCUACUGUAUAUAAACUAAUGCUCAUUACAAACUACAAAGACAAUCCGGUCUUUGGAACACAGCUCACAAGUCACAACAUUUUGUUGGCCGGCCAGGGAAAAAUAUAAGCAUUCUGCUUAUUACAAAAAUUGUCUGAGCUUGCUACUUACAAGUUACAACAUCAAGACUUCCACUUUCCGAAGUUUGCCUAUGCUUGUGUGAUUGCAAACUCCUGGCUCAGCCCGGCUAUCAUAAUUCACAAUGAAUGACAAUUUGUUUCCAAGUAGAUCAUAAACAAAAAAAAUGAUUUGAAUGAAGUUUUGUUAAGCUCGGAUAUGGCCAGCAUAGCCAUAAUGUCUUAAAAGUCCUGCAUCCAGCCUCCAGAGCAAAGAUACCAAUAAAGAGAUUAAUGAUUCAAGCACUCGCAGAGAUUUGUGUGAGACAAAAAGCAGCAGGAAGUUACAUUGCAUGGCUAGAAAUGACAUCAGAUAACAAUAACACAAUCUUGUAUACCUGGAAUCUCAAUUUCACCAAGACUGCCCUCAGAAGAAGGAGGAUCAGCUUUAUAUGCCGCCUCAUUUAGGCUCCUGCACAUUGUCAGUAUAACUCUCAUACUAAAUAUUACCUAAGAGGUAACAAUUUUUGCAGACAUCCCAGUUCCGAUAUAUGUGCAUACAUCUGUAUUUGUGAGUUGUUUUCAAGAAUCAUGACCCCCACACGGCAUCUACAGGCCUUCCAAGACGUCGACAUGUACGGUAAUAAGAGGAUUCAGUGCAAGGGUAUAUCGUAUAUAUCAAUAUAAUAGAAAUGUAUGUUUGAUGAUAUGCAUAAUAACGCCUUACUUCUUAGUUCUUAACAGAAAUGUAUGUUUGAUGAUAUGCAUAAUAACUCCUUACUUCUUAGUUCUUAACAUAACAAACAAACACUUCAUCAAAGUUAAAAUCAAAGACAUAACUUAAUCAUUCAACACAAAAAAGUUUGACCUGAAUUUUCAAUGGUAAUUUCAUGAUAGAAACUACACAUGAGUGGUAAGAAAAAAUAAAACAGUUAAUUCCUGAGAAAUGGGAUUAGAAACAGACCUUAACAGCAGCCCACCAAUCAAUCAGCCAAAAGAGUUCCAGCCACAACAACUCCUCAACCAUCCUGUUAAUCUUUUGGUAAGUAGUCUUCGAAAAAGUAAAAUAUACAUGACAGACAUAGACAUGAGGAAAAGCCUAAAGAUGUUUAGAUUAGCAAUACAUAAGAAGCAAAUAAGAAUCAAACAACAUCAAAUAAGACUCCCCAAUGGAUCAGAGGUAUCACAAGACUAAGUGUUCAAUUUCUAAAAUCACUGAAUAGGCAUCAAAAGACCAAGCCUUCAAUUUCUAAAAUCACUAAAUACCGAAUUCGUAGAGAAGCAGAGAUAAAGAAUGUUAGUAAAAUAUACAUGACAGGCAUAAUAUGAGCAAAACUUAAAGAUGUUUAGAUUAACAUAAGAAGCAGAUAAGAAUCAAACAACAUCUAAUAAGACUCCCCAACGGAACAGAGGUAUCAAAAGACCAAGGCUGCAGCUUCUAAAAUCAAUAAAUAGAUUUCAAGAGACCAAGGCCUCAACUUCUAAAAUGACUAAAUACCAAAAUCGCAGAAAAGCAGGGAUAAAGAUUGAGAGGCUGAGAAGGAGGCAUACUUAUCACCUUUUCAUAGCUGGUUCUGAAAUAGCAAACCGAUGUGGAAGGAUUGCCCAAGGAAGGCCAUUUAUAAGAAACUCCGAGGAGGCACAGAGACUUCAGUUACGAUUUGGGGAAAUCUGCGGAGCCUGUCCAAGUUCCAGCCAGAAAAUAAUUGCAAGGCAAGCGAAGGGCCAUCAGGUUUGAUCAGCACUGCAUACAUCAAUCAAUUAAAGGAGAGCUGAUUUAGCUGAGCGAAGUUCGCUCAGAGAGCAAAGAUUAGAGUUUAAGAGUUUAGGGAGCGACACGUCAGCCGCCCGGGAUUUUACUUUAUAUAGAUAUAUAGAUAUAAUAUAAGAUAUCACAAAAGUUAAAAAUCAUGAAUCAUCUUUACAUCAAUUCAGUUAUACAAUGCACAUCUAGAACAAAAACUUCUUUUUCUAUAAAUAAUUAAUUCACGUGAAUAUGAUUAAUGAUCAAAGAAAGACGGAAGGUUUGCUGACUAAAAAAACUGAGACGUGUUAAUUGUAAUUCCUCUGUCCUAUAAUAUUUUUUAGGUUUAUUUUUAUCAGGUUUGUUGAUACACAUUUUUAUCGUGAAUAUUUUCAAUUUCGUAUUAGUAUUAAAUGUAAAAACAUCACCGUAUCAAAGUACUCAUAAAUAUGAAGUCACUUAUGACUAUAUUUAGUUUUAUAAAUUAGACAUAAAUUAAUAAUUUAUCUCAUGUUAUGAACAGUGCCGACAUAUAAAAUCAAAAAAGUUUUUUUAAACGGGGUGUAAUGUUGUUUGACUUUGUGGGUGUUUGGCUAAGCUUCUUAUAAGUGCUUCCGGGCUUCUUUUAGCACUUUAAGCAGCUUCUACUUUUUACGUGGUGUUUGGCAAAAAUAAGCAGAAGUGCUUAUUUUGGGUUUUUAAGCCAGAAGUUGGAAGCUAGACAUGCUAGCUUUUUUUGAGCUUUUCCCGUGAUUUGCAUUUAUUAUGAAGUUUUAAAAAUUUUAAUAUAUAAUAAACUUUAUUUAUUAAUAAAGUUUUUAAUAUUUUAAUGAUUUGAUUUUUUUUAAAAUUUAUACAUUUAAAUUACCAAACACUCAAUUGACUUAUAAGAAAAAGUUAUCCAAACACUUUUAAUAACUUAUAAGUUAAGUUCAUUUAUCAAUUAUAAUCCACUUCUUUAUUUUAAGCAAUAAAUCACACUUUUAAGUUAAGCCAAACGCCCCCUUUAUCUUAGGCAUUCUUCUGUCCAUUCCAGAAAGAGAAAGGUCAAUUAUUGGAGUGGCAUGUACUGCUCACUGGUCACAAUAUCACUAUUCGAUAAGCUUCGGAUACCGGACAAUUAUAAUUGAUUCAAACCAUUUUGUUUGUUGGUGAUCUGAUUUAAAAUAUAUAUGGAUAAUAACAAAAUCUACCCACUCCUUGCUCUGCAACAGGGGUCCCUUCGUCGUUUCCCCUCAAACUUCCAAAAUGCAUUCACAAUUAUAAUCAAUUAAUAAAUUAUAUAAAAUUAGAAAAAUUAUCAUUUGUAAAAAAACAUCAAUCUUAGAAAUAUGAUUAAUGAGAACAUUUCUAUGAGUUCAUCAUUUGUAAAAAAACAUCAAUCUUAGAAAUAUGAGAGAACAUUUCUAUGAGUUCUAAUAACCAUGAUUAUUAAACAGAUUCAAUUAAACAUGCUAGGUAUCCAUGUACCCUAAUAAUUCGGCCAAAUCUAUAGUUGAUUUUGUAAUUCUAGUUCAUAAAAUUACUUGGCAUAUUGGUUACAAGUUACUUUGUAUGUGGUCAGUAUUGAAUAUAUGCCCUCCAUGGUAACGUAAUUUUCGAUUAAGGCGAUUAAUAUUGUGUUAAUGGAUCAGCUUUUCUUUCAAAAGUUGUGUUAAUUGAGCAUAUCAAUGAUUAUAGUAUUUGUCAACCAACACUCAACUCCAACUGAGAAAAUAACUUUGUGACAGCUUAAGAAGUUGAGUUGAUUAUCAGCAGAAAAGAGAACAAACGUGAGAUGAAAAUAAUUCAAAUACAUAGCUCAAACUUUAAACAACAGUAAAACAUAUAUAAACAUAUAGUCAUAGUCAUAUAGAGUGAAAGUGUUCACGAGCAUGCAGACAUUAUUAACAGUGCUACAUGCACAAAAUUGGGUACACAAUUUUGCACAAAAUAAAGUGGCAACUGAGGUGGAAAGUUUCAAUUGGUGCUAUUAAUGCAUAGGGGCAUGUUCCAAUCAAAAGUUAACACAUACUUAUUAUGUGAAUGCUUUUAUACCCAAUUUUGUGCUUCUAGCAUUUUCCUUAUUAACUACGGAACAACAGGAAUUGCUACAGCACGAAGCGGGUGAAGCUUGGCCAGAGUGAUCCCAAACUUAUCCUCCAUGUCCAAAUCUCCUGGUGCAAUCCCACCUUCAAGUUUCCAGUCGAAACAAUUUAUGAGGGAUCCCACCAUGAUGGGCACCAUCCUCAUGGCCAGGGGCAAUCCAGGACAUUUCCUUCGACCCGCGCCAAAUGGAAUCAGCUCGUAAUCAUGCCCAUACACGUCAACUUUGGAGUCCAUGAAUCUCUCCGGAUGGAAUGACAGUGGAUUUUCCCAUAGCGUGGGAUCGCGUCCGAAAGCCCAUACAUUCACCAUCACUUGCGAAUUUUUGGGAAUUAUAUAGCCACUUAAUUCAACAUCUUCUGUCACUUGGCGUGGUAGUAAGAAGGGAACUGGUGGGUGCAACCUUGCAGUCUCUUUCACAAUGCAUUGCAAAUAAGUCAACUUAGAAACGUCUGCUUCUUCUACUAUCUUGCCUUUUCCAAUCACUUGAUCCAGCUCAGCUUUCGCCUUGGCCAAUACCGUUUCCGGAUUUCUUAAUACCUCAGCCAUCGUCCAUUCCACUGUACUUGAAGUCGUAUCUGUUCCUGCAGCGAACAAAUCCUGCCCAAGUAAAUAAUUGUUAGAAUACUAUAUGAUACUGAUAAGCACUCCUCCUAAUACUUUCACAUUUCGCAGAAUCAAUUACUUACCAUGGUAAGAGCUUUCUUAUAUAUACUAUAGAACAAGAGUAGUGCAACAUGCACAAAAUUGGGUACAGAAUUUUGCACAAAAUGGCGUGGCAACUGAGGUGGAUAGUUUUAAUUGGUGCUAUUAAUGCAUAUACAGGGGGCCAUUCCAAUCAAAUGUUAACACAUACUCAUUAUGUGAAUAUUUUUGUAAUCAAUUUUGUGCAACUAGCAUUUUCCAUAAAACAAAGCACUUAUAUACACAAGGAAAAGGAUUAUCUCACCGUGAGCAAGUGAUUGGCGUGUCCUUUCUCAAUUUCAUUUGUUCGCAACAAUUUCAGCAGUUCGUCGAGCACAUCUGCACUAAGACUGUUGUCAGCUCCCAACUUCUUCAGCUCCAAACGCUCGUUCACCAUACCAUCAAACAACUUGAUCAACUUUCCAAAAUAAACACUUGAUCGUCGUUUGAUACCUUGAGGAUCGAAAGCCCUAAGAAUAGGAAAAUAAUCCACAAAAUUCGGCGUACCUGCCUCCUUCAUAAUGUUCCACACCGUGUCCUUAAACUCCUUAGUGUCACUACCAUGAUACGGAUCUACCAUAUCCUUGGAAAACAUGGUAUUAGACAAAAGAUUAAGCGCAGUCUGAAAAGCAGCACAACCAAUAUCUACAGCCUCCCCUCUUUCGCUACACUUAGUAACGUAUCCAACAAGCUCCUGCACCUUAUUCGUUCGAAGAUGAUGAUUAGCAUCCAGCUUGCUAGUUGUAAAAAUAUAAGAGCUCAUAAUUUUUCUUAGAUUCCUCCACUGAUUUCCAACAGGCAACCAUGCAACCGAGAACUUGAAAUGGUCUUGGGCACGUAUAGCAUCGGGAUNCAAUACCGUUUCCGGAUUUCUUAAUACCUCAGCCAUCGUCCAUUCCACUGUACUUGAAGUCGUAUCUGUUCCUGCAGCGAACAAAUCCUGCCCAAGUAAAUAAUUGUUAGAAUACUAUAUGAUACUGAUAAGCACUCCUCCUAAUACUUUCACAUUUCGCAGAAUCAAUUACUUACCAUGGUAAGAGCUUUCUUAUAUAUACUAUAGAACAAGAGUAGUGCAACAUGCACAAAAUUGGGUACAGAAUUUUGCACAAAAUGGCGUGGCAACUGAGGUGGAUAGUUUUAAUUGGUGCUAUUAAUGCAUAUACAGGGGGCCAUUCCAAUCAAAUGUUAACACAUACUCAUUAUGUGAAUAUUUUUGUAAUCAAUUUUGUGCAACUAGCAUUUUCCAUAAAACAAAGCACUUAUAUACACAAGGAAAAGGAUUAUCUCACCGUGAGCAAGUGAUUGGCGUGUCCUUUCUCAAUUUCAUUUGUUCGCAACAAUUUCAGCAGUUCGUCGAGCACAUCUGCACUAAGACUGUUGUCAGCUCCCAACUUCUUCAGCUCCAAACGCUCGUUCACCAUACCAUCAAACAACUUGAUCAACUUUCCAAAAUAAACACUUGAUCGUCGUUUGAUACCUUGAGGAUCGAAAGCCCUAAGAAUAGGAAAAUAAUCCACAAAAUUCGGCGUACCUGCCUCCUUCAUAAUGUUCCACACCGUGUCCUUAAACUCCUUAGUGUCACUACCAUGAUACGGAUCUACCAUAUCCUUGGAAAACAUGGUAUUAGACAAAAGAUUAAGCGCAGUCUGAAAAGCAGCACAACCAAUAUCUACAGCCUCCCCUCUUUCGCUACACUUAGUAACGUAUCCAACAAGCUCCUGCACCUUAUUCGUUCGAAGAUGAUGAUUAGCAUCCAGCUUGCUAGUUGUAAAAAUAUAAGAGCUCAUAAUUUUUCUUAGAUUCCUCCACUGAUUUCCAACAGGCAACCAUGCAACCGAGAACUUGAAAUGGUCUUGGGCACGUAUAGCAUCGGGAUGGGGCCGAGUAGAGAAGGCCAGGUCUUGCUUUUGGAGGACUUCUCGAGCUGCAGUCGGUGAAGAGAUAAUUAUGGUGGUUAUACGUCCCAGUCUUAGACUCAUAAUCGGACCGUAAACCUGAGCCAGGUUGGCUAAGGAUUUAUGCGGGUGUUUGCCGAGGUUGUGUAUAUUUCCUAUGAGUGGUAAGGGGAAGGGUCCUGGUGGAAGCUUUUGAACAGCUUUCAUAUGAUUUUUUUGUAGUAAGAAGAGUGAAAAGGCCAGCAGUAUGCACAGCACACUGAUCAAAAAGAUCUCCAUAUGCGCUGGUUCUGGUUGAACCUUGACGAAGGGUUAAUAUACUGAUAAACAAUAAAGAAGAUGAGGGUUGGGAUGCUUAUGCAAUUGUGUUAGUUUCUGUUUCUAUUUAUACACAAACAGGACCGGCAGAAAAUAGAAAUCAAUGGUUCCAAUUAAAACAACCUAAAACGUCUAUGUCCAGAAUACUGCUUAAAGAUUUGACACUUCAAUUAUUUCUCAAACAAAUGUUGUUGGCGUCACGCCAUCUCCAACGGUGGAAGCAGUUUUUUAUCUAAAUUUUUGUCCAAAUUUAGACCGAAUUAUCUUUUCAUUUUAACUAUUCGGCCUAAAUUUUGGUCCAAAUUCAUAUACUCCCUCCGUCCCGGUCAAUUCUAUACGGUUUAUUUUUCGGGAUGUCCCAUCAUUUCUAUACAUUCCCAAAAUAGCAAUUUUUUAUAAUAUAAAACACUAUUACACCCACUAAUUUCUUCAGCUAUCUCCAUUCUAUAAUACUAAAAACACUAUUACACCCACCACUUUCCUCCACUAUCUCAAAUCUAUUAUUAAAAAUAAAUGGGUCUCAGCACUUUACCCACUUCUCAUCUAACUUUACUCAAAUCUUACCCUUUUUCUUCGUUUCCGUGUCGAAUCCCAAUGUAUAUUAUUCAUUGGGACGGAGGGAGUAUACAUAUUUUAUUCUUCAAACUUUCUUUUUAUUAUUAUUAUUAUUAUUAUUAUUAUUAUUAUUAUUAUUAUUAUUAUUAUUAUUAUAUUUUAAUAAUAAUAUAAAAUUUCAUAUUAAUCUUAAACUUAUAAAUUUAUUUAAUUAGAAAAACGCUACAUUCAAACAAAGAAAAUCAAAAGAAAUUUAACAUCUUACUAUAUUAACUAAAAAAAAUAAAAGAAAGUUUUAGUUUAUAUUAUGAUUUCUUCUAAGUUGCAGUUUCAAUCAAGUUUUAUCGAGCGUAAUCUCUAUUUUAUGUUUAAUUAAUGUAUUGUUAAUUUGAAUUUAAUAAAUUUAAGAGUCUUUAGUUUUAUUAUAUUUCAGAAUUAAAUAUAAUUUGUAAUUAUUUAAUAAUUAUUCUAACAUAUAAUCAAUCAACUAACUAAAUAUACAAAACAUAAAAGGUUAUUAUUAUAUUAUUAAAAAGAUUUAGGCAAGUGAAUAGGGUUGGCCUCAAUUUAGGCAGGCACCGUUCACCGGUCUAAAUUUAAACCAAGAUUUAGGUCACUAUCGGAAAAAUUUACGUCGAAACUGGUCCAAAUUUGGACCUUUAGCCCCCUGUUGGACUAACAACCAUUUUUUAAUUAAGUUUUGAUUUUUUUUAUUUCAAUCUCAUAAAUAAUGAUAACGUUAUUUCGGUAGUUGUCCCGAUAUUGAUGUGAUUCCACCAAUUAACUCAUGAUUCAACCAUUUAAAUAUAAUUUUUGUUUUUUACGACACUCAUGUGGAUACAUUUUUAUCAUCUCUAAUAAAUUAUUUUUUGUAGCUCUCUUAACUAAUUCUUGAUCCUGCCUCCUUGUACAGAAAUUAUUAACGUUGGUGUUCGUAGAGGUUUGGGUGCUUUAAACGAUUUUUAAAACUGAUGCUCCUAUUUUUCAAGAUCGUAAAUGAAAAUUUUACAUACAUUCAAACUAAUAUACAAUAAUAUAAUAAAAACAUUUAUUUAAAAUUAACACAAUCAAUUAAAGUGCAUGUAAAUAUAUAAAUACAUAGAUUUAUCAUUAUAUGCAAUAGUAGAAUUUUUUGGUACUUGGUACUUUUAUGACAGUGAUGCCCAGGACGUCCAUCUUGGUCGCCAUAACAAGGGCCAGUCCUGGAUGUUUCCGUUGAGAGACUUAUGAAAAUGAACACUUGUUCGUCAUUUAAUACCUUGAGGAUCGAUAGACCUAAGAAUAGGAAAAUAAUCCGCAAAAUUAGGCUUACCGGACUCCAUCAUAAGGAGCCUAAAUGAAGAGCCUCUUGGAGAUGCUCUCUAAUGGAGCUCUUAAACAAGCUCCUAUCCUUCAAUUUAAAGAGCAAAUCAAAAAAUAGUGCUCCAAUGGGCUCCUAGAUGCUCUUUAAAAAUUUAAGAGCCUACCAUCUCUCCACUCUUUUGAAGAGCAUCUAGUAGCUCCUAACUAAUAUUAUAUUAAUUUUUCUCCCACUACACAUUCAACCUUUCUCUCUCUUUUCACUUCUCUCUCUAAUUUAUAUGAAUAAAAUAAGAAUAGAGAGCAUGUUUAAAGAGGAGCAUUGGAGUUGGAAGAUUUUUCAAUGUAGAGCAUCUCCAAUAGUCUCUUAGUUGGCUCCUAUGUAUAAUAUAAAAUAUUAAGCUCCUAGUAAGUUAGUACAUUGUUAGGAGUUUGAACUCCAAUAAUGCUCUUUAUACUCACUCUUAACAUUAUAUUUUAUUAUUAUUUGAACUCCACUAUGAUAAAAGUACAAAGUCACAUGGGUGAUAGUGAAUAUUAUAUUACAAAAAACAAGUUAAGAGCCUUGUAGUGGCUCCUAAAAGAGAGGAGAGAGAAGGGCCUCUUAGUAUUUUUAAGAGCCAUUAAGAGCCUAUUGGAGCUCUAUUUUCUCUUAUCCUCUUUACUUUUGGUUUUAAGAGCCACUUUAAGAGGUUAUUGGAGAUGCUCUUAACUCACUAAGAGCCACAUAUUAUAUUAUAUUUUAAAAAGUGAUUUAAGAGCACCAUUGGAGAUGCUCUAACUUGAGAUUUGAGGAGGGAGAGAAAAAAUGUUGCUCCAAGAGACUCUUAAGUGGCUCUUAAAUCACUAAGAGCCUCUUGUUUCUCUCUCCUCUCUCCUCAAAGUUAAGAGCCACCACAUUAUUCCUAACUUAUUUUUUCACAAUAAAAAAAUCCUUCAUUCCACUUCACCUCCAUCUUUUCAUCUCUUUUGUUAUAGUGGAGCCCAAUAUAUGAAUAAAAUAUGAAAUAGAGAAGAGAUGUAGAGAGUAUUAUUGGAGCCACAUUUUUUAUAUUAUAUUUAGGACCCAACAAAGAAGCUCUUGGAGAUGCUCUAAUGCUCCACACCGUUUCCUUAAACUCCUUAGCUACAUUCCCAUGAUACGGAUCUGCCAUAUCCUUGGAAAACAUGGUAUUAGACAAAAGAUUAAGCGCGGUCUGAAAAGCAGCACGACCAAUAUCUACAGCCUCCCCACUUUCGCUACACUUAGUAAUGUAUCCAACAAGCUCCUGCACCUUGUUUGUUCGAAGAUGAUGAUUUGCAUCCAGCUUGCUAGUAGUAAAAAUAUAAGUGCUAAUAAUUUUUGUCAUCUGUAGCCUCAUUCUUAUCAGUGGUGUUUACAGGGCCGACUUUAGAGAUUUGGGUGCUCUAGACGAUUUUUGAAACUGAUGCUCCUAUUUUUUCAAGAUCAUAAAUGAAAAUUUUACUUACAUUCAAAUCAAUAUACAAUGACCAUACAAAAAAAAAAAGUUCAAUAUACAAUAAAAUCAUAUAAAUAUUGGUUUAAGAUUAACACAAUCAAUUCAAAUGCAUGUAAAUAUAUAAAUACAAAAAUUUAUCAUUAAAUACUACAUAUGCAUGAAUUUGUUGAUGUCCUAGGAUAGUGUGUCCAAGAUCCGUUGAGAGAUUUAAGAGUCAUCCAGAUAGUUCACAACCUUCGUGACAACAACCAUAAUCUGCAACGUACUUCCGAAAGCCAUAGUUAUUGCUCUCCAAACACUAACCAUAGAUUAGGACACUCUUGGGGGCAUGGCCCUGAUGUAGCUCUGUUGUAGACUGAUAUAUAAUACAGAACAUCAGAGCCCGUUUUGGUGUGUGGAAAAACUAAACCUUACUCCCAGAGGCGGAUCUUAGAAGGGGUAAGAGGGGGCAACUGACCCCCCUUAAUUUUUAUUUUUUUUAAUAUUAUACAUAUUUUUAGGUUGUAAAAUUGAAAUUGACCCCCUUAAUUUUUUUGUGACCCCUUUUAUUUUUUUUUACAAAAAAAUUGACCCCCCUUAACUUUAUAGUCAGAUCCGCCACUGCUUACUCCGUUAUUUAGAAACGCUAAUAAACUUACUGGUGUAGGAAAUGACAAAUAUGAGAAAGAAAAAUGCUCAUACUACAAGAUUAUUAUUAUAAUAAUUGUCCAAUAGUUAGAGAGCUGAAGUCAAGCUAUAUUUGUUUUUCAUAAAUUUGGUCACAAAAGAUGUGUCGUUUUUGUAUAAUUAAGAAGUAGUUAUUUGGUAGUUAUCUAUUCUGUUUUGAGAAUCGAAUCCAACCACAGUUUAUUGGGAGUAUGGAUAAACUGAAGGUUCUCAUUGUCACAAAUUAUGGGUCUUCCUUCUCUAAGCUAGACAACUUUUAUUGUCUUGGAAGUUUACCCAUUCUAAGGUGAAUCAGAUUAGAACGAUCGAGUUUCAUUAUCUUCCCUUAACACGUCCUCAAUCGAGUUGGUGAACCUGCAGAAGAUAACUUUUACAAUGUGUGAGAUCGGCGAGGCAUUUGAGAAUGGUACUAUAUAUGGACCUCCCUCGCAUCUUCCCUAAUCAUCUGGAACUUGAGAUUGACUGUUGUGAUGACUUGAUGAAAUUGCAUGCUGGAAUCUGUAAUGUUGUCAGUCUUAAGAAGAUCUGCAUCACUUACUGCAAUGAGCUAUCUUUGCUUCCAGAGGAGAUCGGCAGGCUCAGAAAUCUUGAAGUCUUGAGGCUCAAUUCUUGUACAAAGCUAUUAGAGUUGCCAGAGUCAAUUGGAAACCUCCAAAAAUUAACAGUUCUUGAUAUAUCUGAUUGCUUAAGCAUAAGUAAUUUGCCUAGAACAGUAGGUGAGUUGUGUGCUUUAAAAAAGUUCCACAUGAGAGGUUGCGAAGGAUUGUCAGACCUACAUAAGCUUCCCUCAUCUGUAAAAGAUCUGACGCUAUUAGAGAAGGUGAUAUGUGAUGAAGAAGCUAGUCAUCUAUGGAAAACAUAUCGAAGCCAUUUGAAAAAUCUGGUAGUCGAAGAGGUAAAAGAAGAUGCAUUUGAAAGCCUUAUGAGGGUCAUCUAACCAAUUCAGCAUUGUUGACACAGCAAAAGAAUGUUGUACAGCGUUUAGAUUUCUGAAAUCAGAACUUCUGAUUGUAUACUACUGGCAAGUGGCAACACUUGGGUUUUCAUUGUUAUUCAUAGAUAUGUGUAAAUUCUAUAGAGUGUAGUAACAUGUCAUUCAGAAAAUCUCCAGGUUUCCAGAUGCUAAUGUAUUUAAAGUUGGUUAAAGACACAUAUCCAUGUAAGCUUGAAAAGUACGUCAAUAAUUAGUUCUCUUGUGUUGGGACAGGAACUCAAUGUGGUGCAUGCAAUUGAAACUUUUGUUUUUGGUUGAGCUAUGAUUUGGUUUGUUAUUCACAUAAUUAUCCUGUUCUCUAUUUUGUCAGAAUUGGUUUUAUUAAGUUUGUAAGAAUGUAAGUGCAUUUGCUCAAUUUAGUGUCUUUGAUUCAAGUGUGAAAGUCCAUGCCUUCUCGAGCUUUUAGCAUAAACGUUCCGUGACCAAGCCGCUUAAGAGGGAGUGAGGGACAGUCCGAGAAAGAAAUUAUAACAUCCAGUCCACAACCAUAUGUAUAUAUAUCCGUUUAUUGACUCGUAGUAUCUAUUAAUGGUUUAAAGCUAUCCCUUAUUGUAGAUUCGAAGUCCGAAUUCACACACAAACUUCUAGAAUCUGGUGUCUCUGCACUUCCAGCUGGACCAAAUUCUCAUACUCUCUCCGUCUCAAUUUAUAGGUCCCUUUUGGACAAAAAAUUUGUCCCACAAUACUUGUCCCUCUCUUUUUUCAAUACAAAUUUAUUUCUAUAUUAAUUAUAAAUUUUUUGAAACUCAACAUUAUUCUCAUUUCUCAAUGCACUAAAUCUCUAUAUUUAUUGUGAUUUUUUUGAAACUCAAUUAUAUUCUCCCUUAUCAAUGUACUAAUUAAUGAUAUAUGAGAUAAAAUUAUAUCUAAUCAACUACUUUUUUCUUAAUAUGCGUGUUUAUUCCAAAAAGGACCUAUAAAUUGAGACGGGGAGUACCAUUUAUAAUAUACAAGCCAAGCUCACAAUUAGAUACGUACAGGGUCCCGACAAACCAACAAACCAUCACAAGUCGAUCUAAAAUUAAUCAGAGGUUUGCCCAAAAUUUUAGUAAAUUCUACAUCCGUUAUUAACUUGUAUCUAUACAAACUUCUUAUUCUAAACGGUGUCCAUGUUACAGAAAUGCUCACAAAUGUUUAUUAUGAAAGACGCUAGAGGACUAACUUCGCAGAAAGCCAUUCCUUUUAUUACAUCGUAUCUGACUGUACCCCCUUGAAAUGUAUUGGCAUUUUUAGUUUGUAUAGUAUUUUUUUUCCUUCUCAGUUUGAUAACUCAAAUUUAUGAGUAAAAUUGGAUGUGAUAUGAUAUAGAUGGUACAUUACAUCUGACAUGUUUUAAAUUUGAAAACAGAUUUACGUGUUCAACUUCGCUGUAAUGAACCCAUAAGUGAAGAAUUCCCUUCAGCCAAAUUCAUAUGUGAUGUAUGAAUCACAAUAAUAGUUGCCAGCAGUGUGAUCGCCAAUGUGCUCUACUUUGCAAAACAUUUCAAAAUUCUUCAAAGGUGAUGUUGAAGAUUGCGUGUUUGGUAAAGUUUUCCAUAAAAUUCAACGCCGAUGUCUUGUACAUACAAGUUACUCCCUCCGUCGUUUUCCUAGAUCUUUUGGUUGUCACUUUUUAACGUAAUUUAAUGUGAUUAAAAGGUAUAUUUUCAUAUUUUUUUUAAAUUAAAAUUUAUAGUUUAUAUUUUAUUCAUAAAAAUAUUUUAAGAAUAAUAAAUAAAAAUAUAUUUUUAAUUAUUUUAAAUUACAUGUAAAAUGUUAGAAUGACAGGUGAAAAAGAACUUAUAAUAUAUAAAAGUCAUGCCGACUAGCCAUAACAAAGUCCUUCUUCACAUUGACAUUUAUCUCAACUCCAAGAAGCCUGCCAGGAUUUCUUCUUCACCGACCUUGAAAUUUUUGAUGAGCUCGUUUAUUAUGUUUGUUGCUUUCGACAACAUAAAUUUUCCAUAGAUUUCACCGUAAAUGUAAUAUCUUAAAGUAAAAUUCUGGAUAAAAUCAUUAUUGCGUUUGGUAUUUUCGUCAAACCAUNAAAUUAGAUAUUAAAAUUAUAAGAUAUAAUAUAUAUAUAUAUAUAUAUAUAUAUAUAUAUAUAUAUAUAUAUAUAUAUAUAUAUAUUUUCAUAUCAUAAACAUAUCUUAGUUUAAAUAUUAUUGCACAAAGUAAAUUCAUAUAUUUAAUUAGCUAAUAAUAUACCCUCAGUGUUUGAUUCAGCUUCUUUUCUCAUGUAUUCACUUAUUCCACCCAUUUGUUUAUAUAUACCGGACACCAAAACUAAUAAAAUUAUAUAUAUAUAUAUAUAUAUAUAUAUAUAUAUAAUAUAUAUAGUUAAGUUCUAUGGAGUACAAAAAAAAUUGGAGUAUUGGAGUACAAAGUUUGAUAAAAUGUAAUCUAGUCAUCUAAAUUUCAAUUUUUUUUGUCCAAUAAUAUUUGUAAAUAUUUGACAACCUGCACAUUAUGUUCUGCAACAUAAACAUCGUGAUCAAAUGGUAGAAUAAUUACUUUUAUAAAUCAUAGGACUCUAUGUUCUGCAAUAUAACUAAUAAGCAGAACAAUAAUCUUAAUACUUGUUAAAGUUGAAAGAUAUUAAUGAUUAAUUGACAAUUAUGUGCAAGACAACUUAUAAAUGAUAGAUUAUAUCAAAAUUUGGAUAAUCAAAGAUAUUAUAUAGGAUCAAACUAAAAAAUUAUGAUUUGUACUCCAAUACUCCAAUGUUUUUAUGUACUCCAUAGAACUUAACUCAUAUAUAUAUAUAUUAUAGAUUUAGUUAAUUUUAACCUAUCUUUCUCUUUGUUUUUUUUACUUUUUUAUCCUAUUCAAUUGUUUAUAUUUAUGCACGACGAUUCGUAAAAUUUUACAAAAUAGCAUAAAAUCGAAAGAAAAGUUUAUUAAUGAAAUGUUUAUCUGAUAGAUUAAAAAAAAUGAAACAAAACAGUGGAUGAGAUUAAUUUUUUUUUUUUUUUUUGCUAGUUGAUGAGAUUAAUUUUUGUAUUAUAUUCUUUCCAUCUUUUAUAUGAAACCAUGACUAUUAAAACAUACUUUCAAGUGAUUUAAUUGCAUAAUUAUUUUUUUUACAAAUGUUUUUGUGUAUAAAGAUACAUAAUAAAAAAUUUAAUUAAAAAAAGUCAAAAUUUAUUAUUUUUAUUAAUCAUUCAAAGCACUUAAUAAGUGUAAAAACGGAGAGAAUAAAAGCUAAUAUUUUAGUCAAAUGUUAAGAAUUUAACAGAAAAUUAAGAAAAAAAAUGUAAAGAAUUUCGAGACAACAAGUAUUAUUCUAAUUGUCCAAUACUAAGAGAGUUGAAGUCAAGCUAUAUUUAUUUUUCUUAAAUUAGCCUUGUGUAAUUAAGAAGUAGUUAUAUGUUAAUUAUAUAUUUUGUUUUGAGAGUCGACUCUCGCAAUUAGACUUUUAGUUCUCAUUUUUUUGAAUUUUCAUCCUCUCAUCAAUUAAGCCUUCUUCCCCGUAUCAUCAUUUUUCUAUUUAUCAGCUUUUCAAUAAAACUAAAAUCUAUUUUUUUAUUUUUUUUGGUGAGAUCUUAUUAAAUACCUUGUUAUCAAGGUUGUAGUGGUCCCAUAUUUUUGAGAAGUUAGUAUGCUAUGUUUUGAAAUUUUGUUUAUCGUUUAUGAAUUUUUCUGAAAAGGAUUUAUAAGAUUUUUUCGGUGAUUUAUAAUACUCGUAUUGAUUCUAGGUAGGUGAUGAAUAUGGCAAGAGCACAUUUUUUGCAACAAAAAUGUAUGGGGGUCAUAUAGUCACUUUUAAUUGUCAUAGUAUUUUCAUAAAUAUUCUUAAAAGUUAUAAAAUUACAAAAAAGUUAAAAAAACAUAGUAUUUGAUAAGCUCCUUUAUAAUAUCAAUUUUGUUAACAUAUAUAAAUUUUAAUUUAAUUCCUAAUUUAAAAGUUAAAUUAUUAUUUCUUAUAUCUCCCCUUUCUUUUCCCCGAAAACUUUAAUUAUGUAAUAUAUCUAAAAGCAAUAACAAACAAACUGAGAUAGACAUCUUUGUUUCAAAUAUGCAUUAUUGGUACUUUAAUUUUUUUUUUUAGAAAAUCAAUAUUUUGAGUGUAUAAAAUUUCAAAAGGAUUAGAUUUACUUUUUAUAAUAUAUCCUCUUUAUGUGACAAAUUUGUUUUAUUUAUAUAGACAGAUGUGCUUUGUCUGUUUUCUUAAAACAGGGCAAGGAAAUAUUACAUCCACGUAAAAAAUUUCUUAAAAUUUAGUCAAAUUUAUCCAUAAAUAUACAUAACUCCAAGGUCAAUAACCGUUGUGAAAGUACGACACUAUACUGGUUUAAUGGAGAGUAUAUCACAUGCAACCUGAAGUCUAAACGAUCUCAAUCGCUUGGGUCACAUAAUUAUCACAAAAGUCAAAAAUCAUGAAUCAUCUUUACAACAUUGGGAUCCGCUGUACAUCUAAAGAACAUACUUUUACUCGUAUUACUUAAAAAAGUUAUUUUUCACUUAUAAAUAAAAUUUCACUAAUUAUAAGAAAUAAACUCUUGUUUUAAAUUAAACUAAACUAAACGACUCCUUAGAUAAAUUUAUAGACAGUUUUUAUACUUUUAUAGAAUGCAAUGAAAUGCAGGUUGAACAAAAUGUUUAUAUUAAAUGUUAAUUAGAUUAAAUAUAACGAGUUUAUGAGUUUUUGAAAUUAAGUUCUAAUUACAUUCAUAUUUAGGUUUAAAAAAGUAGUAUAGAUGUUAAUCUUUAAAUUAUACUGUGUUAAUUAUCUAAUCAAAGUAUCUCUUUUGAUUAGAAUUUAAUUUAUUAAAUUAGUGUAGGUUAAUUAAUGUUCUUACACUUUUUUGUUAAUAUUCCAGGAUAUUAUUAGUUCUACUCUCAUAUGUAAAUAUUUUAUUAUCAAAAUGUUCAAAAAUACUUUUUAAUGUGAAUCCGUUAUAUGAUAUUCAUCUUGAACGAAAAACCUCUUUCUUUAUAAAUAAUUGAUUCACGUGAAAAUGAUUAAAUGAUCAAAGAAAGACGGAAGAUUUGCCGACCAAAGAAACCGAGACGUGUAAAUUGUAGUAACGUUGUUUGACUUUAUCUUACGCAUUCUUCUGUCGAUUCCAGAAACAGAAAGGUCAAUUAUUGGCGGGGCACUAGUCACAUUUGUAUGAUAGUGUCACUAUUCGAUAAGCUUCAUUUAGAAAUUACAAAAUCUGCCGACUCCUUGCUCUGCAAUUGGGGUCCCUUCGUGGUUUCCCCUCAAACUUCCAAAAUGCAUUCACAAUUAUAAUUUAUGUACGUUAACACCUUCAAACUCAAAAUAAGUAUAUUAAUUAAAUUUAUUUCAAAAAAAAAAGAAAAAAAGUAUAUUAAUUAAAUAAUACUUCUUUAAUUGAUUAAUUUUGUUAUAAAAAAUAAUAACUUAUAAAACAUGUAUUGGUGAUUUAUAAUAGUAUAUAUAUACUCCUUACGUUUGGUUUGGGAAUGGAGAUUAAGAAAUAAGUGUAAAGUAGUGGAAAAGAGAAAGAAAAAUGUAUGAUGUGGUGAGAGCUAUUGAUUUUUAAUGUAUAAAAGAGAGAUAGGGGAGUAAAAGUGAUGUAAAAAUGGAGGAAAAAUGAGUAAGUGAUGGAACCCAUUGAUUAUUUUUGGUAAGGUUUGAAAUGUAUGGGACAUCCUAAAAAGGAAACGGUAAAGAAAUGAUUAGCACAUGAGGGAGUAUAUUUUUUUAUUAAAUAUAUUGAAUAUUUAUUUUUAUUUUGAAGAUAAAAUUAUGUUCAAGUAAUAUGAAUCUUUAAGUUUCUUUUUUUUGAAGUAAUAAAUCUUUAAGUUAAGAUAGUUUUUUAAUAAAUAAUAAAUGUGUGGUUAAUAUUUUUAUAUAUGUUAAACAAAUAUUUUCAUGUAACAUAUUAAGUAAAUUCUUAAUAUUUUUUUUUUGAUAAAAAAGAAUCAAUUCAUUAAUCAAAAGCCAUAGACAAUCUACAAAUAUAAUCAAAAUUGGACAAACGCUAAAUUAUAUCACUGUUGAAAUUUUCUUUGUUGGAGAGAUAACUAGCUUUGAAAAUGAUUUAAAAUAUAUGUACUUUUUUCACCCAAUUGAUUUUCACUCGACUAUUCUCAAUAAUCAACCAUAAAUACGAUUUCAUAAUAACCUUCGAAUCUAAAUAAACUCAUGAAAAUCAUGCUGAUAUAUAACCUUGGUAGGGAGAACAUCGAAACACACCAAACCGAAAAUCAACAUAAAAUUCAAAUAAAUUGAGAACUCAUUGAAAGGUAACCAAGAUUUCAAACAAGAAAACGGAAAAAAAAAAUUGAGACGGGCGAAAACCGAUGGAAGUCCCUUCAAAUUUUUUUAAUGGAAGCUAGGGUUUGAGGGAGUGAGAGUUGGGAAUGAUACGAAGGAAGUUAGUAUAUAAAUUCUUAAUAUUUAAACCCGUUAAGAAGAUUGAUCCUAAGAAAUAUGAUAACUGGGAACAUUUCUAUGAGUUCUAAUAAUAAUGAUUAUUAAACAGAUUCAAUUAAACAUGUUACAAAUUGAAUAGGUUCGUAUAUAUAUCCAUGUACCCUAAUAAAUUCAGCUAAAUCUGUAGUAGUUGUUUUUGUGUAAUUCUAGUUCAUAAAAUUACUGGGCAGAUUGGUUACAGCUUACUUUGUCUGUGGUCAGUAAUGAAUACAUGCCCUGCUUUAGUAACGUAAUUUUGCGAUUAAUAUUGUGUUAAUAGAUCAGCUCUUCUUUUAAGAGUUGUGUUAAUAGAGCAUAUUAAUGAUUAUAGUAUUUGUCAACCAGCACUCAAUUCCAACUGAGAAAAUAACUCUGUGACAGCUUAAGAAGUUGAAAAUAAUUCAAAUACAUAGCUCCAACUUUAAACAACAGUAAAACAUAUAGUCAUAGAGUGCAAGUGUGCACGAACAUGCAGACAUUAUUAACUAAGGAACAACAGGAGUUGCUACAGCACGAAGCGGGUGAAGCUUGGCCAGAGUGAUCCCAAACUUAUCCUCCAUGUCCAAAUCUCCUGGUGCAAUCCCACCUUCAAGUUUCCAGUCAAAACAAUUUAUGAGGGAUCCCACCAUCAUGGGCACCAUUCUCAUAGCCAGGGGCAAUCCAGGACAUUUCCUGCGACCCGCGCCAAAGGGAAUCAGCUCGAGAUCAUGCCCAUACACAUCAACUUUGGAGUCCAUGAAUCUCUCUGGCUGGAAUGACAGUGGAUUUUCCCAUAGCGUGGGAUCGCGUCCGAAAGCCCAUACAUUCACCAGCACUUGAGAAUUCUUGGGAAUUAUAUAGCCACUUAAUUCAACAUCUUCUGUCACUUGGCGUGGUAGUAAGAAGGGAACUGGUGGGUGCAACCUUGCACUCUCUUUCACAAUGCAUUGCAAAUAAGUCAACUUAGAAAUGUCUGCUUCUUCUACCAUCUUGCCUUUUCCGAUCACUUGAUUCAGCUCAGCUUUCGCCUUGGCCAAUACCGUUUCUGGUUUUCUUAAGACCUCAGCCAUCGCCCAUUCCACUGUACCUGAAGUCGUAUCUGUUCCUGCAAUGAACAAAUCCUGCCCAAGUAUAUAAUUGUUAGAAUACUGAUAAGUACUCCUCCUAGCACUUUCAGAUUUUCGAAGAAUCGAUUACAUAACAUGGUAUCAGAGCUCUCUUAUAUACUCCCUCCGUCCCAGCCAAUUGUAGCCAAUUGUUUACGUUCGGUUUGGGCACGGAGGUUAAGAAAUAUGUAAGUAGUAAAAAAGAGAAAGAAAAGUGGGUAAAAUAGUGGGACCUAUUAAUUUUUAAUGUAUGAAAGGGAGAUAGCGUUAAGAAAUAUGUAAGUAGUAAAAAAGAGAAAGAAAAGUGGGUAAAAUGGUGGGACCCAUUAAUUUUUAACGUAUAAAAGGGAGAUAGCGGAAUAAAAGUAGCGUGAAAACGGAGGAAAGAUUGGGACAUGAUUGGACCCAUAUUUUUGGUAAGUUUUGUAAUAUAAAGAACUGGAAAAGACAUCCCAAAAAGGAAACCGUAAAUAAUCUGGUGGGACGGAGGAGUAUACUAUAGAACAAAUCACUUAUAUACACAAGGAAAAAUUAUCUUACAGUGAGCAAGUGAUUGGCGUGUCGUUUCUCAAUUUCAUUUGUUCGCAACAAUUUUAACAGUUCGUCCAGCACAUCUGUACUAGUACUGUCCUCAGAGUCCCCCAACUUCUUUAGCUCCAAACGCUCAUUUACCAUACCAUCAAACAACUUGAUUACCUUUCCAAAACCAACACUUGAUCGUCCUCUGAUACCUUGAGGAUCGAAAGACCUAAGAAUAGGAAAAUAAUCCACAAAAUUAGGCGUACCUGCCUCCUUCAUAAUAUUCCACACCGUGUCCUUAAACUCCUUAGUGUCACUCCCAUGAUACGGAUCUGCCAUAUCCUUGGAAAACAUGGUAUUCGACAAAAGAUUAAGCGCAGUCUGAAACGCAGCACAACCAAUAUCUACAGCCUCCCCCCUUUCGCUACACUUAUUAACGUAACCAACAAGCUCCUGCACCUUGUUCAUUCGAAGAUGAUGACUUGCAUCCAGCUUGCUUGUAGUAAAAAUAUGAGAGCUCAUAAUUUUUCUUAGAUUCCUCCACUGACUUCCAACAGGCAACCAUGCAACCGAGGACUUGAAAUGGUCGCGAGCACGUAUAGCAUCGGGCAGGGGCCGAGUAGAGAAGGCCAGGUCUUGCUUUUGCAGGACUUCUCGAGCUGCAGUCGGUGAAGUGAUCACUAUGGUGGUUAUACGUCCCAGUCUUAGACUCAUGAUCGGGCCGUAAACCUUAGCCAGUUUGGCUAAGGAUUUAUGCGGUUGUUUGCCGAGGUGGUGUAUAUUUCCUAUUAGUGGCAAGGGGGAUGGUCCUGGUGGAAGCUUUUGAACAGCUUUCACAUGAUUUUUUCGUAGUAAGAAGAGUGAAAAGGCCAGCAGUAUGCACAGCAAACUGAUCAAAAAGAUCUCCAUAUGCGCUGGUUCUGGUUGAACCUUGACGAAGGGUUAAUAUACUGAUAAAAAUAGGAAGAUAUGGGUUGGGAACUUGGGAUGCUUAUGCAAUUGUGUUGGUCUCUGUUUCCAUUUAUACACAAACAUGGCCGACAGAAAAUAGAAAUGAAUGGCUCCAAUUAAAACAACCUAAAAUGUCAAUGUCCAGAAUACUGAUUAAAGAUUUUACGGCUCAAUUAUUUCUCAAAUACAUUUCGCAGGCAUAACAACCAUUUUUUAGUUAAGUAUCGGAUUUUUAUUGGUUUUAAUCUCAUUAAUAGUGAUGACGCUAUUUGUGAUAGCUGUCUUGACAUUAAUGUGAUUCCACCAAUUAAGUCCCGAUUAUCUAAUUGAUUGCUAAACGGUGAUUCAACCGAUUAAUCCUAAUUUAGGUUUUUUUACAAUACUGGUGUGGAUUUUUAUCAUCUCUAGCCUCCUCGUACAUGAAUUCUUAUCGUUUGUGUUUACAAGGCCGAAUCUAGAAAUUUGGGUGCUCUAAACCAUUUUUGAAACUGGUGCCCUUAUUUUUCAAGAUCGUAAAUGAAAAUUUUACAUACAUUUAAAUUCAAUAUACAAAGAAAUCAUAAAAACAUUGGUUUAGGAUUAACAUAAUCAAUUCAAAUGCAUGUAAAUAUAUAAAUACAUAAAUAUAUCAUUAUAUACUACAUAUGUAUAGAUUUUUUAAUGCCCUGAGAUAGUGAUGGUCAAGACGUUCGUCUUGGUAUGCCGACCAAGGGCCAUUCCUGUGUGUUUCUAGUGAGGGAUUUAAGAGUCAACCAGAUAGUUCACAACCUGGUUGGUGACCAAAGACCAUUCCUGGAUGUUUCUGUUGAGAGAUUUAAGAGUCAGCCAGAUAGUUCACAACCUUCGUAACAACCAUAAUCUGCAACGUACUUCUGAAAGCCAUGGCCAUUGCUCUCCAAACACUAACCAUAAAUUAGGACAAUCUUGGGGGCAUGGCCCUGAUAUAGCUCUGUUGUAGACUGAUAUAUAUAUAUAUAUAUUAAUACAGAACAUCACAGCCCGUUUUGGUGUGUAAAAAACUAAACCUCACUCCUUAAUUUGAAAACGCUAAUAAACUUAAGGUUUGUCUAGUAUGUGCCAUGAGACUGAAUUCUAUAAAUUUGGGACAUUUUGAUUGGUGUGUUUAUUGUAUUUGCAUGGGUUCCACAAAUAAUAAGAAAUAGGAGCCAAUUAAAAUGAGUAAAACUUGUAAUUUCUAGUGUUUAGCAUGUGCCAUGAGCACACUGGAAAAACCGAUAAACUUAUUGGUGUAGAAAAUGGCAAAUGAGAAAACAAUCAAAGUGACUGCAACCAAACUGUCUUGGACCAUUGUCAGAUCUAGAAGAUUGUGACAUGUAUAUUAUAUUAUUAAAUCCCAAAAUUUUUUGUCAGUAUUUGGGUAAAAUUAUGAGCUUAUUUAUAUAAUAAAAAACUAAUUUUUAUAUUUCCUAACUAAAAAAAAUUCAAAUUUUUAAUAAUAAUAUUGGACAACAUAGCAAUUAACUUUUUUAACAAAAUCAGAUUCCUAACUAAAAACUCGAUUUCUAAAAAUAACACAUGCAAUAUACAUUAAAAAAUGAAAUAUUAUUAUAUAUAAUUAUUAAUAUACAACUAAUGAUAUAUUUCAACUAAUGUUAUUUUUAAUUACUCCAUGUUAUCAAUUUAAUAUCAUGGAUCCAUACAAUCCAUUUAUACUAUCCUGUACAAUAAUAAUAAUAUUAUUAUUAUCAUCAUUAUUAUUUUUAUAUUAAAAAUGAAAUAUUAAUAAUUUAAUUGGUUAGUCGAAUUUUAUCUGCCGACUAGUAUUAUUCAUAUGGGUCUCCUUAAUAUAUAAUGUUUCCAAUAAAUCAUUUUAUUAUAAAUAAAGCCAAAAAUUUUAAAAAUUCGGUUAAUAUGAUCGAUUUGUAUGUCAAUUAAAUUUAAACUAUAGAAGACAAAUUUAUAGAUGUUAAAAAUCACUAUACGGGUUAUAAGCUGGUGAUGAUUAAAAAGCAAUUAUUAAAAGUAUAAUUUUUAAACAAUGAUAAACAUACAGUCUUAGAGUGGCAUGUAAAAAAAAGUAGUCGUCACGGAACAACAAGAGUUGCUAGAGCACGAAGGGGAUGAAGCUUGGCCAGAGUGAUCCCGAACUUAUCCUCCAUGUCCAACUCCCCUGCUGCAAUAUCACCUUCAAGUUCCCAGUCAAAACAAUUUAUGAGGGAUCCCACCAUGAUGGGCACCAUCCUCAUGGCCAGGGGCAAUCCAGGACAUUUCCUUCGACCCGCGCCAAAUGGAAUCAGCUCGAGAUCAUGCCCAUACACAUCAACUUUGGAGUCCGUGAAUCUCUCCGGCUGGAAUGACAGUGGAUUUUCCCAUAGGGCAGGAUCGCGCCCAAAAGACCAUACAUUCACCAGCACUUGCGAAUUUUUGGGAAUUAUAUAGCCACUUAAUUCAACAUCUUCUGUCACUUGGCGUGGUAGCAAGAAGGGAACCGGUGGGUGCAACCUUGCACUCUCUUUCACAAUGCAUUGCAAAUAAGUCAACUUAG
rnacentral:lncRNA from 1 species